AUUAAAGGUUACGGUACAAGAUGAGUAUGCGUCCUAUUAGCUAGAUGGAGUGGUAACGGCACCCCAUGGCAACGAUAGGUAGGGGCCCUGAGAGGGGGAUCCCCCACACUGGUACUGAGACACGGACCAGACUCCUACGGGAGGCAGCAGUGAGGAAUAUUGGACAAUGGGCGGAAGCCUGAUCCAGCCAUGCCGCGUGCAGGAAGGCUGCCCUAUGGGUUGUAAACUGCUUUUGUACGGGAAGAAACACUCCUUCGUGAAGGAGCUUGACGGUACCGUAAGAAUAAGGAUCGGCUAACUCCGUGCCAGCAGCCCGCGGUAAUACGGAGGAUCCAAGCGUUAUCCCGGAAUCCUUGGGUUUAAAGGGUCCGUAUGUGGACUGGUCAGUCAGAGGUGAAAUCCUGCAUCUUAACUUGUAGAACUGCCUUUGAUUACUGCUAGUCUUGAGUCAUUAUGAAGUAGUUUAGAAUAAUGUAGUGUAGCCGGUGAAAUGCAUAGAUACUUACAUAG
rnacentral:rRNA from 1 species